rnacentral:rRNA from 1 species
GCGAGGUGGAGCAAAUCCCAAAAAUAACGUCUCAGUUCGGAUUGUAGUCUGCAACUCGACUACAUGAAGCUGGAAUCGCUAGUAAUCGCGAAUCAGAAUGUCGCGGUGAAUACGUUCCCGGGUCUUGUACACACCGCCCGUCACACCAUGGGAGUCAGUAACGCCCGAAGCCGGUGACCUAACCGAAAGGGAGGAGCCGUCGAAGGUGGGACCGAUAACUGGGGUGAAGUCGUAACAAGGUAAC